rnacentral:rRNA from 1 species
UACGUAGGUGGCAAGCGUUGUCCGGAUUUACUGGGCGUAAAGGAUGCGUAGGCGGACAUUUAAGUCAGAUGUGAAAUACCCGAGCUUAACUUGGGUGCUGCAUUUGAAACUGGGUGUCUAGAGUGCAGGAGAGGUAAGUGGAAUUCCUAGUGUAGCGGUGAAAUGCGUAGAGAUUAGGAAGAACACCAGUGGCGAAGGCGGCUCACUGGACCAUAACUGACGCUGAGGAGCGAAAGCGUGGGGAGCGAACAGG